rnacentral:rRNA from 1 species
GAAUGCUGACAUAAGUAACGAUAAAGCGGGUGAAAAGCCCGCUCGCCGGAAGACCAAGGGUUCCUGUCCAACGUUAAUCGGGGCAGGGUGAGUCGACCCCUAAGGCGAGGCCGAAAGGCGUAGUCGAUGGGAAACAGGUUAAUAUUCCUGUACUUGGUGUUACUGCGAAGGGGGGACGGAGAAGGCUAUGUUAGCCGGGCGACGGUUGUCCCGGUUUAAGCAUGUAGGCGGAGGUUCCAGGUAAAUCCGGUACCUUUUAACGCUGAGGUGUGAUGACGAGGCACUACGGUGCUGAAGUAACAAAUGCCCUGCUUCCAGGAAAAGCCUCUAAGCAUCAGGUAACAUUAAAUCGUACCCCAAACCGACACAGGUGGUCAGGUAGAGAAUACCAAGGCGCUUGAGAGAACUCGGGUGAAGGAACUAGGCAAAAUGGUGCCGUAACUUCGGGAGAAGGCACGCUGGUGUGUAGGUGAAGUCCCUGCGGAUGGAGCUGAGACCAGUCGAAGAUACCAGCUGGCUGCAACUGUUUAUUAAAAACACAGCACUGUGCAAACACGAAAGUGGACGUAUACGGUGUGACGCCUGCCCGGUGCCGGAAGGUUAAUUGAUGGGGUUAUCCGUAAGGAGAAGCUCUUGAUCGAAGCCCCGGUAAACGGCGGCCGUAACUAUAACGGUCCUAAGGUAGCGAAAUUCCUUGUCGGGUAAGUUCCGACCUGCACGAAUGGCGUAAUGAUGGCCAGGCUGUCUCCACCCGAGACUCAGUGAAAUUGAACUCGCUGUGAAGAUGCAGUGUACCCGCGGCAAGACGGAAAGACCCCGUGAACCUUUACUAUAGCUUGACACUGAACAUUGAGCCUUGAUGUGUAGGAUAGGUGGGAGGCUUUGAAGCGUGGACGCCAGUCUGCGUGGAGCCAACCUUGAAAUACCACCCUUUAAUGUUUGAUGUUCUAACGUAGGCCCCUGACCGGGGUUGCGGACAGUGUCUGGUGGGUAGUUUGACUGGGGCGGUCUCCUCCCAAAGAGUAACGGAGGAGCACGAAGGUUAGCUAAUCCUGGUCGGACAUCAGGAGGUUAGUGCAAUGGCAUAAGCUAGCUUGACUGCGAGCGUGACGGCGCGAGCAGGUGCGAAAGCAGGUCAUAGUGAUCCGGUGGUUCUGAAUGGAAGGGCCAUCGCUCAACGGAUAAAAGGUACUCCGGGGAUAACAGGCUGAUACCGCCCAAGAGUUCAUAUCGACGGCGGUGUUUGGCACCUCGAUGUCGGCUCAUCACAUCCUGGGGCUGAAGUAGGUCCCAAGGGUAUGGCUGUUCGCCAUUUAAAGUGGUACGCGAGCUGGGUUUAGAACGUCGUGAGACAGUUCGGUCCCUAUCUGCCGUGGGCGCUGGAGAAUUGAGGGGGGCUGCUCCUAGUACGAGAGGACCGGAGUGGACGCAUCACUGGUGUUCGGGUUGUCAUGCCAAUGGCACUGCCCGGUAGCUAAAUGCGGAAGAGAUAAGUGCUGAAAGCAUCUAAGCACGAAACUUGCCCCGAGAUGAGUUCUCCCUGAGACUUUAAGUCUCCUGAAGGAACGUUGAAGACGACGACGUUGAUAGGCCGGGUGUGUAAGCGCAGCGAUGCGUUGAGCUAACCGGUACUAAUGAACCGUGAG